GACGAACGCUGGCGGCGUGCCUAAUACAUGCAAGUCGAGCGCAGGAAAUCAUCCGAACCCUUCGGGGGGACGUUGAUGGAAUGAGCGGCGGACGGGUGAGUAACACGUAAAGAACCUGCCCUCAGGUCUGGGAUAACCACGAGAAAUCGGGGCUAAUACCGGAUGGGUCAUCGGACCGCAUGGUCCGAGGAUGAAAGGCGCUUCGGCGUCGCCUGGGGAUGGCUUUGCGGUGCAUUAGCUAGUUGGUGGGGUAAUGGCCCACCAAGGCGACGAUGCAUAGCCGACCUGAGAGGGUGAUCGGCCACACUGGGACUGAGACACGGCCCAGACUCCUACGGGAGGCAGCAGUAGGGAAUCUUCGGCAAUGGGCGAAAGCCUGACCGAGCAACGCCGCGUGAAUGAUGAAGGCCUUCGGGUUGUAAAAUUCUGUUAUAAGGGAAGAACGACUUUAGUAGGAAAUGGCUAGAGUGUGACGGUACCUUAUGAGAAAGCCACGGCUAACUACGUGCCAGCAGCCGCGGUAA
rnacentral:rRNA from 1 species